UCGCCACAACGGCUUCCUGACGUGGUGAUCGACUUGUAUUGGAGCA
rnacentral:ncRNA from 1 species